rnacentral:misc_RNA from 1 species
AACCUAGCACACCUGCGGUGUGUACCUGCGGAAGGAUCAUUACAAGUGACCCCGGUCUAACCACCGGGAUGUUCAUAACCCUUUGUUGUCCGACUCUGUUGCCUCCGGGGCGACCCUGCCUUCGGGCGGGGGCUCCGGGUGGACACUUCAAACUCUUGCGUAACUUUGCAGUCUGAGUAAACUUAAUUAAUAAAUUAAAACUUUUAACAACGGAUCU